UACGAGGGGUGCUAGCGUUAUUCGGAUUGACUGGGCGUAAAGGGUGCGUAGGUGGCAAACUAAGUUUGUUGUUAAAUUCUUCAGCCUAACUGAAGGUAUGCAAUGAAUACUGGUGUUGCUAGAGAACGAAAGAGAGAAGUGGAAUUCUCGGAGUAGCGGUAAAAUGCGUAGAUCUCGAGAGGAACACCGAUGGCGAAGGCAGCUUCUUGGUUCGUUUCUGACACUGAGGCACGAAAGCGUGGGGAGCAAACAGG
rnacentral:ncRNA from 2 species